UGCCCCUUCUCGCUCUCUCUCUCACACAAUGGUUCUUUCUUUUUGUAUGUAUAGCCAAAAUACUCAAGUACCAGCAACUGUAGGAAACUGCAUGGACCUUCAAAGACAGUUUUCCUGUUUUUGCUACCAUAGAAGGUGCAGAGGGGGAAAAAGUGUAAUAAGUUCUAACUGUUGAAAAUUAAAAAUAUGUAAGGUUAAAAGACCUCUGUUGUAAAAUAAAUAAAUUUUAAAAAAUACAUUUUUUGCAAAUGUACAACCUAGUUAACGUGGACCGGGAAAGGGACGUUUGGGGUCUCCUGCUGGAGCUGUUGCCCCUGUGACCCGUUCCUGGAUAACCUGUUGAAGAUGUAUGUAUGUAUGUAUACAACCUCAUGAUAAUAUGCCAGUUGUGACGCUGAAUGUGAUAUGAGUGUGUUGAGUGUGAUACCCACGGUAGCUAACUAGUCCUGUAACCGGCAACCCAGCUGCUCCUGGCACGGACGCGUUUCCUCUUUCCUCUGCUGCACCGUCGUCUGGAUGUUUAUGGUGUCGCCAAAACAGCGGCUUUCUCGGUAUAUCCCUCCGCCCUUGCACAACCAUUUGUGUUCUGUUUAUCACUGUGGUAGUCAGGUAACACUGUGCUGCUGCUAUGUACUUACGCGCUCUACUCGCUAUAUCCUCUUGGAAUGGUCAAGCUGCUGCAUCUUUUAAAGCCUUGUGCGUGGUGGCAGUAGUGUCCUUACAUUCCUGCACGCAUUCAAGUGUGUGUGUGUGGUCGGAGCAUUCAGCCGGAACAACUGGCCCAGAGUUCCCAGCAGGUGAUCAAAGCUCAAGUCUGUCCCUGUUUUCUCUGUCACUUUUGUUUUAUUUGACGUUGUUGGCAGGUGGUUUUGUCCCCGUCCUGUUUGUGAAAAGCAUAGUCUUGUUUUUCCAAAUGUGGGUCGCAAGGUGAAAGUGGUUAGUUCGCCGGUUCAGCUCUUGCGUCACAUUAUUCUGCCUGGCUGCACAAAAGGGCAUCGGGCAGGCAGGGUGAGGAAGAUGGUGAGAGUCUGGUGCACUGAACUCGCUGCAGGCUGGGUGGGCCCAGAUGGCUGAGGUACUGAGGAAAACGAGACCUUGACUGUAACCAAGUCUGUUUACCCUGAUCAUCACUUAGUCACUCGUACCCGUUCAGUCGUCUCCGCCAGGUCAGCUGGACAUGUUGCGUACACAGUAAGCGGACGUGCAGCCACAGGAAGAGAGGAAGCUUUACAGUCGAGGUCAUAAGUUUAAAUGCAACUGGGCUAGAAAUGCUCAAACACCCCCCCCCCAGCUCUGCACAUUUCAUGUUGCUAAACAAAUGUCAGAUUUACAUAUGGUUAUUUCAAAAUAAUAUGUAUUUCAGUUAACGAUGUGAGAUUUUCAGUAGGUCAAAUAUUUACAUGCACAGUCAUGAUGGUCAGUAUGGAAGAUUCUACAAAUGGGAGUUAAUUACUUUUAGAAGCAUCUGAUUGGAUAAUUGGCAUGAACGGGUCCAUUGGAGGACCUGUGGCUGUAUUUAAGGGCCGAGCUGCAGAUCAAAAGGCAUUCCAUGAAUUAAAUGGCAUUAUCCAGUCUCUGCAGGAUUUUGAAUGCUGUCUUAAGUGCCCAAUUUCAUGGCAGUUUUCAAAUAAAUAAAUAAAAAUUACAAUGCAUGUUGCAGUUAUUUUAGGGUGUUUUUUAUUUUAGCAAUGAAAUUAACAGCUUUCUAUCACAACUUUCAAGAAACCCGAGGUUGUUUUUUGUGGAAACAAGGUGAAUAUUAGAAAAAAGGAAAUUAUUCCAGUGGAAUAUUUAUUUCUAAACUAUUUUUUAAUUCAUACUCGUUCUUACAGACAGGAAAGACUGCCAGUAUGACUAUGAUUUAUACAAACAUUACCACUCUUCAUGCAUCCGUCAUGGAACUCUUUCAUGCUUUUCUUACUUGAAAUGUCUGUUAUCUGCCCGUUCUUGUCAUUCUCCAAGUGUGUUUUCUCCUGUGUAAAAGUAUUUAUCAAUCGUUGGCUCUUGCACACACACUUUUUGUUGGUAAAUGUGAGCCAUUCAUGUCACACAUCUGUUUCCUUACAAACAGAAAUAAGGAACUGAGUUUUGUGUCGUACAGCUGUGUUGUGCAGGGGAUUGCUCCGAUUACAGAAACUCAUAAAUCAGCCAGAACGUUACAGCUUGGUAAUUCCAAUUCAUGGCCGAUCCCAAACAAGCAAACAGAGGUGACAUGGAGACAACAAAGUAAAUGUUGGAGUAGUAAUCCCAAAGCCUUGAUCUGAGUCCCAGAGAAAAUUUGCAGACUGAACUGAAAAGGAAAAAAACAAGAAGCACCAAAAAACAAGACUAAUUUAGAUCAGCUGUCGUAAGGAAUGGGCCGAAAUUCCAGCAAAAAAUAUAGUGAGAUGCUUUUUAGAAGUCCGUUCUGUUUAAUUAGGGAAUAACCCUGUUGUGUCUGAUUUGCGAACAUUCAUGCUGUUUAUACGGUGGCAAAUUGAGUUUUACCGGCAACGGGAUAGCGGAGGCGGUAAAACGGCUAUUUGCGAGCGUAAUCCAUCAUGAACGUCCGCAAAUCAUCAGACAUAGGGGUUAUUCCCAUUCUAAUCCAAUUCCAUCGUUUGCACGGUUUAUUUUUCUGUAGGUAAUUUCGUCUGCGAGGUUUACCGUCGAGGCAGCGUCGGUCCAGCAGCGGUCAGGGCACAGAGUAAUUCAUCAAAUGUGAAACAAAAUCACCCAUGUCUGCAUUGUCGUCACUACGCGCCUUUCUCUCGCUCUGAGCUGACACCGCCAUUAUUGACAACGUGCGUAGCAGCGUGUGCUGUCAGGGCAUGGAGUAAUACAUAAAAUGUGAAACGGUCUAAUAUUUUUCAACCUUACACCCAAUAUUAUACGGUCUGAAAUCUCACAUGAUUAACCAAUCAGAUUUGCGGAAAAAAAUGUAAUUGGAUUAGAAUUCAAGUUAAGCAAUUAAAAGGUAAAACAAACGGGUAUAUGUAAACUUUUGACCUCCUGAAAAUUCUGAGUGUAACUAACAGUUGAGAUAAAUCUCUUACAUGUGAUUUUUUUUUACUUUGGGGUGGGGGGGUAAAUAAACAUUUGCAUUGAGUUGGCAUGUGAAUUGUUUGGUAAUGUGAAAACUUUGAAGUUGGGGGAAAUUUUAGUUGGAUUUUUUUUUUUUUUUUUCCCCUCCAUCCGACACUGCUCGGGUGUUUUAAAAUUUUUGGCCUCAACUCUAUUAUUUUUAGUUGCCAGUAAAAUAAAGAAAAAGUGCUUUUUAUUGCUGCUACGCCAGAUCCCUGUAAGCCGGUGUGUGUAAAUACUUUUGAAAAGAAAGGGAUCGGCCUUGGCUAAAGUCUGAGCUUAUAUUUAUGCAUCUGCUAUGAAUGCAAACUGAUAAGACAUUCCACUGUGCUCCAUCCUGUUCAAUGCAGAUUUUCUUCCCUUUAUGUUAACAAACCGUGAGGAGCAGGCAGUGGUUUGUUACUCGUCACACAUGCAGGUGAAAGCUGUAAAAAAAAAAAAAAAAAAAAAAAAAAAAAAAAUCAAACCUGUGCAGCAAAUGUAUAUUCUGCUGUUGUUCCAUUUAAACUUGUAUUAAAAUUAUGAAAGAAAAAUAUUUAACAAAGUACCUAAAGAUUUAUAUCACUCUGUAAAUACAGUAGUCAUUAAUAUAUUAACUGUUUUAUGAAUAAUCUUCAGAAAGUUAGA